AAGCCGCAAGGUGAGUAAAGUGGCGUACGGGUGAGUAACACGUGGAUCAUCUGCCUUCUAGUGGGGAAUAACGCUGGGAAACCGGCGCUAAUACCGCAUAAGUCCGGGAGGAGAAAGCAGCAAUGCGCUGGAAGAGGAGUCCGCGGCCGAUUAGCUAGUUGGCAGGGUAAAAGCCUACCAAGGCAAAGAUCGGUAGCCGGCCUGAGAGGGCACACGGCCACACUGGCACUGGAACACGGGCCAGACUCCUACGGGAGGCAGCAGUGGGGAAUAUUGCACAAUGGGGGAAACCCUGAUGCAGCGACGCCGCGUGAGCGAUGAAGCCCUUUGGGGUGUAAAGCUCUUUCGGCAGGGAAGAUAGUGACGGUACCUGCAGAAGCAGCUGCGGCCAACUACGUGCCAGCAGCCGCGGUAAUACGUAGGCAGCAAGCGUUGUUCGGAAUUACUGGGCGUAAAGGGUGUGUAGGCGGUUGUUUAAGUUUGGUGUGAAAUCUCCCGGCUCAACUGGGAGGGUGCGCCGAAUACUGAGUGACUAGAGUGCGGGAGAGGAAAGUGGAAUUCCUGGUGUAGCGGUGAAAUGCGUAGAUAUCAGGAGGAACACCGGUGGUGUAGACGGCUUUCUGGACCGUAACUGACGCUGAAACACGAAAGCGUGGGUAGCAAACAGGAUUAGAUACCCUGGUAGUCCACGCCCUAAACGAUGCAUAUUUGGUGUGGGUCAUUCAGUUGAUCCGUGCCGGAGCUAACGCGUUAAAUAUGCCGCCUGGGGAGUACAGU
rnacentral:rRNA from 1 species